CCUAAAGAAGGUGGUAAGCUCCACCUAAGGCUAAAUAUCACUGUGAGACCGAUAGCAAACAAGUACCGUGAGGGAAAGUUGCAAAGAACUUUGAAGAGAGAGUUCAACAGGACGUGAAACCGUUUGCAGGGAAACAGAUGGACCCACGAAGUCCAGUUGAGUGUGAAAUUCACCUUUCAAGACUGUUUAAGCUUAGGCUACAUCUUCAAUCGAAGGUGUACUUAGGUUUUUGACUGUCGAGAGAUGCAUUUUUCACAUUCACGAUGGAGCUCUGACUCCUCAAACAAACCGAUCUGCAUAGGGCAGCUCUGGUAUGUAGUAAGGUUCUUGUAAUCUUCGAUACAUACUGGAGUUUGUAGUGAGGUUUAACUGAGGGGUUGAAUUUCUCACGUUUGUGAGUGAUUCAGUUUGUCGGAGAAUAUAUUGAACAGGGAAGAGGCAAUGUGCUCUUUUCGACUCUUGUAGUUGAAAUUGUGUGUUGUUCGCUUACCAAAAUGUUUAAUAUAUUUGCCAAUGAUAAUCCAGAGUAAGUAGGUCGGUCAUCCAUCUGA
rnacentral:rRNA from 1 species